rnacentral:RNase_P_RNA from 1 species
GAGGAAAGUCCCCCCACCGUCUGGACAGGUGACCGAGCACAAGCUUGGAGUUGGAGACAGCUGGCACUGGAACAGAAACGAUACCACUCAGCCUGACCAAUGAGACGUGCGAACCACCCCGUAAGGGACGGCAGUUAACCCGUCGAGGGAGCGGCUAUGUGACGUGUCGAUAACGGAAUAAAACCGCAUUAGAUGGGUGAGAAUGGAUGGAACGGCGAAUCCUCACCGGUGCAAGUCCACGCCAGAAAGGUAGUCCGGACAGGGCGUGGACGCUUAGCCGAAUGCUGAGUUGAACAGAAGGGGGCUUACUCCUCUCAGC